ensembl:lncRNA
GGUGCACUGCACAAAAGAUAAAUCAGUUCCCAAUCUGGCAAGCUGAUAAACACUUUUUAUAAACAUAUGCCAAAUUUGACCUAAGGUCCUAGUACAUAAGCAAGCCGGAAAAUUUCAUGCAGUUGAUGGGGAUAAUAUGAAGCAACUACUGAUCUGAAACUCCUUGGGGCAGUGGGCUGGACCAGGCCUUUGUGAUCAAGGGGGUUUGGAGCUGCAGCUGUGGGCACUUUGCCAAAGGCUGAGACAGAAGGCAAGUGUUAGAAGAGGAUUUAAACAGAGUGAAGCUUCACAGAGAUGGUAAGAGUGGGAAGGGAGGAGGAGGGGGAAAAGAGUGAAGGGUUGAGAUCCAGGAAGAAGGUAGUGGGAUGAGGAUGUUUAAGGUGGUUAGAACACUCACUGUGUGAAUCUAUGAUUUUUCCGGGGAUUGGUCAGGUGGCCCAAGUCCUUUGCUCUGGAAAUGCUGUUCUUGGAUAUGCUUGGAGCAUUUUUCAGCUGUGAAGUCACAGUUUCUUUCUAAACUCCUGAUCUGUGAUUGCUUUCCUCAUAGAGGAUGUGCUACCAUAAGAGAGUGUGCCAGCAUGUGUCUUACAACUACUCUCCCUGCCUCAAGGUCAAGGAAGGAUGCAGAAUAUGCUCUUCUCAGUUAGUGUACUUGUUCAGUACCUGGAAAAAAGAGACCCCUCUUGUCUUCAAGAGUAACUAACUCACUUUCUAUGUUAUGAUAGUUUACUUCAGGCUGUACAAUUGCUGCAGGACAGAGAAUAUGGAAUACAAGUUAAAAACAUUUGUUCUCUUCUAAAUGAAACACAACAAAAAGAAAGAUUUAAAGUAGGAAAAAUAAGGCAAAUGAAGAGCUGUAGAGACAGAGUAUUCAGCAAAAUGCAGCUUGAGUUGAAAUGCAUCCAUUGGUUGUGUACAGCUGGGGAAGAGUGUAUGGAACAUGGCUAUGGAGGAGCCACUUGCACCCCUCCUAGGAAACCAUUAUGCUUGAUUACCUUUCCAAAAUUUUUAUACACCAGUGUGUACAGCAUAAGGAAUAAACCGGAAGCUCAAGAUCAGUGCAUCCCUAUGAGUAAGAAGUCAAGCAAAGGAGGCAGGAGGUCUGCACAGAUUAGCAAGGAGCUCCUGGCAAAAAAUUAGAAGGAAGUAUACAAAAUGGGGGAAAAAGGGAACUUUGUCAGAGUUUACAGGGAUGUGACAUGGAAGGCUAAGGACCAUCUGGAAUUAAAUCUGGCAAGGAACAUUGAGGACUAUGAGAAGGGCUUCUUCAAACACAUUAGUAGCAAAAGGAAGACUAGGGAAAAUGUGGGCCUGCUGCUGAAAGGAGUGUGUACCCUGGUGAUGAAGGAUACUGAGAAGAUAGUUACAGAAUACCUUUCUUUGCUUCAUCUGUACUGCUAAUGCCAGCUUUCAGGAGUCCCAGGCCCCAGAGACAAGAGAGAAAGGCCGCAGAAAGGAAGACUUUCCCUUGUUUGAGGAGGAUUUGGUUAGACAUCACUUAGGCAAACUUAACACCCACAAAUUUGUGGUUCCUGAUUGGAGUCUCCUUCCCUGGAGCUGUUCAGAGGCCAUCUGAAAGUGAUCCUGUUCAAUGUGCUCCAGGUGAUAUUGAGCAAGGGGGUUGGACUAGAUGAUUUCCAG